rnacentral:rRNA from 1 species
GACGAACGCUGGCGGCGUGCUUAACACAUGCAAGUCGAACGGAAAGGCCCCUUUGGGGGUACUCGAGUGGCGAACGGGUGAGUAACACGUGAGUAACCUGCCCUUGACUUCGGGAUAACUUCAGGAAACUGGGGCUAAUACCGGAUAGGAAUCCUUGCUGCAUGGUGGGGGUUGGAAAGCUUCGGCGGUUUUGGAUGGACUCGCGGCUUAUCAGCUUGUUGGUGGGGUAGUGGCUUACCAAGGCUUUGACGGGUAGCCGGCCUGAGAGGGCGACCGGCCACAUUGGGACUGAGAUGCGGCCCAGACUCCUACGGGAGGCAGCAGUGGGGAAUAUUGCACAAUGGGCGGCAGCCUGAUGCAGCAACGCCGCGUGCGGGAUGACGGCCUUCGGGUUGUAAACCGCUUUCAGCAGGGGCGAAGCUUGUGGUGACGGUACCUGCAGAAGAAGCACCGGCUAACUACGUG